ACUCAAAUGAAUUGACGGGGGCCCGCACAAGCAGUGGAGCAUGUGGUUUAAUUCGAUGCAACGCGAAGAACCUUACCUGGGCUCGAAAUGUAGAGGACGAUCACAGAGAUGUGAUUUCCCGAAAGGGUCUCUAUAUAGGUGCUGCAUGGCUGUCGUCAGCUCGUGCCGUGAGGUGUUUGGUUAAGUCCAGCAACGAGCGCAACCCUUAUCGUUAGUUGCCAGCGCGUAAUGGCGGGAACUCUAACGAGACUGCCUAGGUUAACUAGGAGGAAGGUGAGGAUGACGUCAAGUCCGCAUGGCCUUUAUGUCCAGGGCUACACAUGUGCUACAAUGGUCGGUACAGAAGGCAGCGAAACCGUAAGGUGAAGCAAAUCCCAAAAGCCGAUCUCAGUUCGGAUUGUAGUCUGCAACUCGACUACAUGAAGUUGGAAUUGCUAGUAAUGGCGGGUCAGCAACACCGCCGUGAAUACGUUCCCGGGCCUUGUACACACCGCCCGU
rnacentral:rRNA from 1 species